rnacentral:rRNA from 1 species
UACGGGGGGGGUAAGCGUUGUUCGGAAUUACUGGGCGUAAAGGGCUCGUAGGCGGCCAACUAAGUCAGACGUGAAAUCCCUCAGCUUAACUGGGGAACUGCGUCUGAUACUGCCGUGACUUGAGUCUGGUAGGGGAGUGCGGAAUUCCCGGUGUAGCGGUGAAAUGCGCAGAUAUCGGGAGGAACACCAGUGGCGAAGGCGGCACUCUGGGCCAGUACUGACGCUGAGGAGCGAAAGCGUGGGGAGCGAACAGG